UACAGAGGGGGCAAGCGUUAUUCGGAAUUAUUGGGCGUAAAGGGCUCGUAGGCGGUCUGUCGCGUCGGGAGUGAAAACUCAGGGCUCAACCCUGAGCGUGCUUCCGAUACGGGCAGACUAGAGGUAUGCAGGGGAGAACGGAAUUCCUGGUGUAGCGGUGGAAUGCGCAGAUAUCAGGAGGAACACCGGUGGCGAAGGCGGUUCUCUGGGCAUGGACCUGACGCUGAGGAGCGAAAGCAUGGGGAGCGAACAGG
rnacentral:rRNA from 1 species